rnacentral:rRNA from 1 species
UACGAGGGGGGCAAAUGUUGUUCGGAAUCACUGGGCGUAAAGGGAGCGUAGGCGGGUUUCUAAGUCAGGUGUUUAAUCCCGGGGCCCAACCCCGGACAGGCACUUGAAACUGGGAAUCUUGAAUAGUGGAGAGGUCAGUGGAAUUGGGGGUGUAGCGGUGGAAUGCGUAGAGAUCCCCAAGAACGCCAGUUGCGAAGGCGGCUGACUGGACACAUAUUGACGCUGAGGCUCGAAAGCAUGGGGAGCGAACAGG